rnacentral:pre_miRNA from 1 species
UUGUCCGAAGCCGUUUGUCCGAAUGGUCGUUUGUUCGAAAAUUUUCGGACAAUCGACCAAUCGGACAAACGGUCUUCGGACAAACG